rnacentral:rRNA from 1 species
CUACGGGACGCACCAGUGAGGAAUUUUGCGCAAUGGGGGAAACCCUGACGCAGCAACGCCGCGUGAGCGAAGAAGGCCUUCGGGUCGUAAAGCUCUGUCAAGUGGGAAAAAAAUCUUUUGAUCAAUAGUCAAAAGACUUGAUGGUACCACUGGAGGAAGCACCGGCGAACUCCGUGCCAGCAGCCGCGGUAAUACGGAGGGUGCAAGCGUUGUUCGGAUUUACUGGGCGUAAAGAGCGUGUAGGCGGUUUAGCAAGUCAGAUGUGAAAGCCCUGGGCUCAACCCGGGAAGUGCAUUUGAAACUGCUUCACUAGAGUAUGGGAGAGGGGAUUGGAAUUCCUGGUGUAGAGGUGAAAUUCGUAGAUAUCAGGAGGAACACCCGUGGCGAAGGCGAUUCUCUGGACCAAUACUGACGCUGAGACGCGAAAGCGUGGGGAGCAAACAGGAUUAGAUACCCGGGUAGUC